UCUGCCCCCUCCAGAGCCCGGCGCCAGCGGCUGCUGGCCGGGCCUCAGGGCUGGGCGGGCACGGGAGGCCGGGGCUGGCCGCAGACAGCGCCCGGCCGAGGGGCAGAGCCCGCACCAACCCUUCCCUCCUGCCGCUCUCUCCAGCUGGCACAGGACAGGAACCGAGCGGCUGAGGACCUGCGCCGGGCCCUGCCGUACCUGCAGAGCCCACAGGAGUCCCUGCGAGCGGCGGCCAUCAGGUUCAUCGAGAUGGUCGAGGUACCCAUGAGGGGGCAGCAGGAAGAGCUCUAGGCCUUCAGUAAGGCCUUUUAAGCCCUGAGGAGGAAUGACAGCCCUUCCCAGACAAACAUAGUAGUUCAACUGAUAUUCAGUGAAAGAGCUGCAGAAGUAGGCUCAUCUGCUGGCUCAGAAGAAACAGUGUUCAUUUAAGACCUCCAGAUGCCAUGGACGAUGAGAAUACCUUGACACCAGAAGAGACCAGCUGGAGCUCCAGGCACAGCUAAUGACUGGCACAGCUGAGCCUGUGGGAAGCUCAUGUGGCUUCAGCCCUCUCCCUGCCUGUAGAUAGUUCCCUCCCUGCAGCCCUCAGACACUGCCUACUCCUUCUUUUUCCCUUCCACUCUCCCUCCUUUUUGACAGCUCCAUCCCCCCAGCCCUCAGACUGUGCCACCCCCUUUUUUGCCUCUCAACUCAUCCCUUUGCUUUGUCUUCCAGCAAUAAACAGUUUGGCUUUUUCACUUAACCUGCAUCUGUGUGGAGCUGAAGGGUCACAAUUCUGGAGAUCUGUGACACAAAUCCUGAGCCCUGAGACACACAGGCCCCUCCUGCUGUUCUCUUCUGCACUGUGUUUUGUUCAGAGACGCAGAGGAACGAGCGCAGAUCAGGCUGGAUAGGUCCCUGUGCUGAAGGUCCAGUUCCACAACAUUGUGGAGUUAAAGGUCUUGCUGAGUACCCUGAGCCUUGGAUUUUGGAAGAGCCAAGCUGAGUAUGCCCUGAACCCCGCUGUGAGGGGUUCUGUGUCAA